UACGUAGGUGGCAAGCGUUGUCCGGAUUUAUUGGGUUUAAAGGGUGCGUAGGCGGCUUUGUAAGUCAGUGGUGAAAUAUGGCAGCUUAACUGUCAGGGUGCCAUUGAUACUGCGGAGCUUGAGUACAGAUGAGGUAGGCGGAAUUGACGGUGUAGCGGUGAAAUGCUUAGAUAUCGUCAAGAACACCUAUAGCGAAGGCAGCUUACUAGGCUGUAACUGACGCUGGGGCACGAAAGUGUGGGGAUCAAACAGG
rnacentral:rRNA from 1 species